rnacentral:rRNA from 1 species
CAGUCGCCGCGGUAAUACGUAGGGUGCGAGCGUUAAUCGGAUUUACUGGGCGUAAAGCGUGCGCAGGCGGCCCGUUAAGACAGGUGUGAAAUCCCUGGGCUCAACCUAGGAAUUGCGCUUGUGACUGGCGGGCUCGAGUACGGUAGAGGGGGGUGGAAUUCCUGGUGUAGCAGUGAAAUGCGUAGAGAUCAGGAGGAACACCGAUGGCGAAGGCAGCCCCCUGGGCCUGUACUGACGUUCAUACACGAAAGCGUGGGGAGCAAACAGGAUUAGAUACCCGUGUAGUCCCUGUCUCUUAUAC